rnacentral:rRNA from 1 species
UAGGGAAUCUUCCACAAUGGGCGCAAGCCUGAUGGAGCAACACCGCGUGAGUGAAGAAGGGUUUCGGCUCGUAAAGCUCUGUUGUUAAAGAAGAACACGUAUGAGAGUAAUUGUUCAUACGUUGACGGUAUUUAACCAGAAAGUCACGGCUAACUACGUGCCAGCAGCCGCGGUAAUACGUAGGUGGCAAGCGUUAUCCGGAUUUAUUGGGCGUAAAGAGAGUGCAGGCGGUUUUCUAAGUCUGAUGUGAAAGCCUUCGGCUUAACCGGAGAAGUGCAUCGGAAACUGGAUAACUUGAGUGCAGAAGAGGGUAGUGGAACUCCAUGUGUAGCGGUGGAAUGCGUAGAUAUAUGGAAGAACACCAGUGGCGAAGGCGGCUACCUGGUCUGCAACUGACGCUGAGACUCGAAAGCAUGGGUAGCGAACAGGAUUAGAUACCCUGGUAGUCCAUGCCGUAAACGAUGAGUGCUAGGUGUUGGAGGGUUUCCGCCCUUCAGUGCCGGAGCUAACGCAUUAAGCACUCCGCCUGGGGAGUACGACCGCAAGGUUG